rnacentral:rRNA from 1 species
UACGUAGGGCGCAAGCGUUGUCCGGAAUUAUUGGGCGUAAAGAGCUCGUAGGCGGUUUGUCGCGUCUGCUGUGAAAACCUAGGCUCAACCUUGGGCUUGCAGUGGGUACGGGCAGACUAGAGUGCGGUAGGGGUGACUGGAAUUCCUGGUGUAGCGGUGGAAUGCGCAGAUAUCAGGAGGAACACCGAUGGCGAAGGCAGGUCACUGGGCCGCAACUGACGCUGAGGAGCGAAAGCGUGGGGAGCGAACAGG